rnacentral:rRNA from 1 species
AUUGGACGCUGGCGGCAUGCCUUACACAUGCAAGUCGAACGGCAGCACGGGUGCUUGCACCUGGUGGCGAGUGGCGAACGGGUGAGUAAUAUAUCGGAACGUACCUUAUUGUGGGGGAUAACGCAGCGAAAGCUGUGCUAAUACCGCAUAAUCCCUAAGGGGGAAAGCGGGGGACCGUAAGGCCUCGCGCAAUUAGAGCGGCCGAUACCUGAUUAGCUAGUUGGUGAGGUAAAGGCUCACCAAGGCAACGAUCAGUAGCUGGUCUGAGAGGACGAUCAGCCACACUGGGACUGAGACACGGCCCAGACUCCUACGGGAGGCAGCAGUGGGGAAUUUUGGACAAUGGGGGCAACCCUGAUCCAGCAAUGCCGCGUGAGUGAAGAAGGCCUUCGGGUUGUAAAGCUCUUUUGCCAGGGAAGAAACAGCAGCUCUAACACAGUUUGCGAAUGACGGUACCUGAAGAAUAAGCACCGGCUAACUACGUGCCAGCCGCCGCAGUAA